GACAGCAGUAGCCACGGGAAUACAGAGGGUGCGAGCGUUAAUCGGAUUUACUGGGCGUAAAGCGUGCGUAGGCGGCUUUUUAAGUCGGAUGUGAAAUCCCUGAGCUUAACUUAGGAAUUGCAUUCGAUACUGGGAAGCUAGAGUAUGGGAGAGGAUGGUAGAAUUCCAGGUGUAGCGGUGAAAUGCGUAGAGAUCUGGAGGAAUACCGAUGGCGAAGGCAGCCAUCUGGCCUAAUACUGACGCUGAGGUACGAAAGCAUGGGGAGCAAACAGGAUUAGAUACCCGUGUAGUCCCUGUCUCUUAUAC
rnacentral:rRNA from 1 species